rnacentral:rRNA from 1 species
ACUGGUUGAUCCUGCCAGUAGUCAUAUGCUUGUCUCAGAGAUUAAGCCAUGCAUGUCUAAGUACAUACCUUAAAACGGUGAAACCGCGAAUGGCUCAUUAAAUCAGCUAUGGUUCCUUAGAUCGUAAACGCUACAUGGAUAACUGUAGUAAUUCUAGAGCUAAUACAUGCCUUGAAUCCCUGACCCGCAAGGGGACGGGUGCAUUUAUUAGAACAGAACCAACCGGGUGCGGCUUAUGCUGUGCCUGUUACAUUCUGUGAUGACUCUGGAUAACUUUACUGAUCGCAGUCGGCCUUGUGUGUCGGCGACGGAUCUUUCAAAUGUCUGCCCUAUCAAUUUGUUGGUAGGUGAUUUGCCUACCAUGAUGAUAACGGGUAACGGGGAAUCAGGGUUCGAUUCCGGAGAGGAGCCUGAGAAAUGGCUACCACAUCCAAGGACGGCAGCAGGCGCGAAAAUUACCCACUCCCAGCACGGGGAGGUAGUGACGAAAAAUACGGAUACGGGACUCAAUUGAGGCUCCGUAAUUCGAAUGAGUACAAUUUAAAUCCUUUAACGAGGACCAAUUGGAGGGCAAGUCUGGUGCCAGCAGCCGCGGUAACUCCAGCUCCAAAAGCGUAUAUUAAAGUUGCUGCAGUUAAAAAGCUCGUAGUUGGAUCUGGGUAGUGCGAUCGCAUGCUGUUGCUUGUUCACGGUCUUGGUUACGAUCAGGGCAGUGGUCAGCUCGGCGUAGUGGUUGUGCAACCUUUCAGCCGUGUCUGUGUUUUGUUAAACAGGUGUCGAUGGGUUAAUGAGUAUUGUAUCUUAUUGACCUGUUGGCAUGCUUUCGGAUGCCUUUAAACGGGUGUCGGGGGCGGACGGCAUCUUUACUUUGAACAAAUUUGAGUGCUCAAAGCAGGCCUAUGCGCCUGAAAAUUCUUGCAUGGAAUAAUGAAAUAGGACUUCGGUUCUAUUUUGUUGGUUUUCGGAUCCGAAGUAAUGGUUAAGAGGGACAGACGGGGGCAUUUGUAUGGCGGUGUUAGAGGUGAAAUUCUGGGAUCGCCGCCAGACAAACUACAGCGAAAGCAUUUGCCAAGAAUGUUUUCAUUGAUCAGGAGCGAAAGUCAGAGUU